AGCWUGAUGACAAUAUUUUAGGUGACUUCUGCCCAGCGUAUUAUUAGCGGCCGCAGUACCUUGACUGUGCUAAGGUAGCAUAAUCAAUUGACUUUUAAUUGAAGUCUGGAAUGAAAGGAUAAAUGAUGUGAAUCUGUCUCUUUAUUGUUUUUUUGAAUUUGUUUAAUAAGUGAAAAUACUUAUACUUAGAAAAAAGACGAGAAGACCCUUAGAAUUUUGAGGAAAAAGUAUUAUCUUUUAAUUUUUGUUGGGGCGACACUGAAACAAUUAAACUUUCUUUGAGUUACAAGACAUUUAGUGAUGAAAGAAAAAAUUACCUUAGGGAUAACAGCAUAAUAAAAUUUUUGUUUGUGACCUCGAUGUUGGACUAGGAACUAUAUAACUAACCGUUAAAAUAGAUUGUUCUGUUCGAACAAAWUCUCCU
rnacentral:rRNA from 1 species